rnacentral:rRNA from 1 species
UGAGUAACCUGCCCUUAACUCUGGGAUAAGCCUGGGAAACUGGGUCUAAUACCGGAUAUGACUCCUCAUCGCAUGGUGGGGGGUGGAAAGCUUUAUUGUGGUUUUGGAUGGACUCGCGGCCUAUCAGCUUGUUGGUGGGGUCAUGGCUCACCAAGGCGACGACGGGUAGCCGGCCUGAGAGGGUGACCGGCCACACUGGGACUGAGACACGGCCCAGACUCCUACGGGAGCAG